GGGGAUUUAGCUCAGUGGUGUAAGCACCUGCCUGGCAAGCAUGAAGUUCGAUCCCCA
rnacentral:tRNA from 1 species